AUGGUUCCUCCGGAGCCUUCGGAACCAGUAGCAGAAGACAAGAAGAAGGAAAGACUCGCAGCCGGUGCUCCAUUCACCUAGUUUGCAUGGCACUUUGCUAACUGCCCUGAGGAUGAGGUCAAGACAUAUGUGCGUGUCUACAUGUGGUACGUUAUAUCCAGGACUAUGUUUGUUGAUGGCACAGGCAAGAAUGCUCCAUGGAUGUGGCUGAAGGCGUUAACCAUCUUCGAUAGCAAAUGGAGUUGGGGUUUGGCGACACUGGCUUACUUAUAUAGACAGGUAGACAGUUGUUUCUUUUUCACUUCAUUGCUACAUUAUUAA
rnacentral:rRNA from 1 species